rnacentral:rRNA from 1 species
CUGCUGCCUCCCGUAGGAGUUUGGACCGUGUCUCAGUUCCAAUGUGGGGAACCUUCCUCUCAGAACCCCUACGCAUCGUCGGCUUGGUGGGCCGUUGCCCCACCAACUACCUAAUGCGCCGCAUGCCCAUCCGUGACCGGGGUCGCCCCCUUUGGCCGGCAGGGGAUGUCCCCUCCCGGCAUUAUGUUGUAUUAGGCGGGAUUUCUCCCGGUUAUCCAUCUGUCACGGCCAGGUUGCAUACGUGUUACUCACCCGUGCGCCGGUCGCCGGCGG